rnacentral:rRNA from 1 species
GACGAACGCUGGCGGCGUGCUUAACACAUGCAAGUCGAACGAAGUGGCGAACGGGUGAGUAACGCGUAAUCAACCUGCCCUUCAGAGGGGGACAACAGUUGGAAACGACUGCUAAUACCGCAUACUGAAGGGGGGGAUUGCGUCUGAUUAGCUAGGUGGGGGGGUAACGGCCCACCAAGGCGAAGAUCAGUAGCAGGGCUGAAAGGGUGAACGGCCACAUUGGGAAUGAGACAAGGCCCAGACUCCCAAGGGGGGCAGCAGGGGGGAAUCUUCCGCAAUGGACGAAAGUCUGACGGAGCAACGCCGCGGGAGUGAUGACGGCCUUCGGGUUGUAAAGCUCUGUUAAUCGGGACGCGGUACCGGAAUAGAAAGCCACGGCUAACUACGUGCCAGCAGCCGCGGUAAUAC